GAUAUUGCAAGGGGGGAAUUUUUGGAGUUCAUCAAGUUGUGCAAUUCUUCAUGGUUACUUGCACCUUGAUAAACUCCAAAAAUUCCCCCCUUGCAAUAUCGGUUACCAUAUUCAUGAACAUUCUUGUACACACCAGGAUACAAAGCUUCCAGCUGUUUGAAUAGCUCUAUUGGUCUGGAUAAAGCAGGAGUUCCACUAAGCAGUAUUGCAUAUUGAGCUUUCUUUAUAACUGGAAGAGAGGCAGUUGUCCUCUUUGCUUGAGCAUUUUUCAUGAAGUGCGACUCAUCUGCAAUCACAACCUUAAAUUCUGA
rnacentral:misc_RNA from 1 species